CUUGACCUAAUUUGAACUUUUUAUAUCAGACAUUGGGUAUAGAAACAUUGCAUGAUACUUCAUUGGUAUGUGUGACUUUUGUGUUUCCAUUUACCCUUUUAAAGGGAAAUUUAAUGUCUAAGAUCCAGAAACCAUUUUGGUCUCUAAGGCCUGUUAAUUGCUAUUUCCCUAAGAAGACAGGAUGAAGAUCUUCAGAUACACACUGGGGCAACUCUCCAGAGUUCUCUGGUUGUUUAUAUUUCUCUCUACAUCUCCAUUCACUAGCCUCUGAAAUACCAAUGUGGCACACCAGGGGACACACUGAAUGCCAUUAUCCAUUAGAUUUUAUUUAUUUUCUGAGUGGCAGUAAUUGUUAACACAUGCGGAUCUUUUAUGUAACUUGAUGAUCAGCUAUGGGCCUUCAAGCAAGGUAAGGGAAAAACCUCACCAACAAUCUUCACAUUGAUUGACUAUUAUCUGGCAAACUCUUCAUGGGUUUCUUUACUAACUUCUGUUUUUCUUUUUUCUUUAAGUAUACAGAUAUAACCUAUGAACUAUGGGAGGGGAGUGAUGUUGUCUGGUUUUCCUGUACUAUGUUUUCCUAACAAGGAGUAGGUCAGUUCCACUGUUUCUGAAGGUCUCUCCAUCCCCGUCUUGGAUCCUUUGCUCAGCCCUCCAUAAAACUGGGGAAACAGCAUUGGACAAGACCAAACCCUUUGAAUAUGGGUACCAGGUAAGAGUCCAAGACAGUCUAUGGGUCCUCUAACAGCGGAGCC
rnacentral:lncRNA from 1 species